rnacentral:rRNA from 1 species
GAUGAACGCUGGCGGCGUGCCUAAUACAUGCAAGUCGAGCGAACGGACGAGAAGCUUGCUUCUCUGAUGUUAGCGGCGGACGGGUGAGUAACACGUGGAUAACCUACCUAUAAGACUGGGAUAACUUCGGGAAACCGGAGCUAAUACCGGAUAAUAUUUUGAACCGCAUGGUUCAAAAGUGAAAGACGGUCUUGCUGUCACUUAUAGAUGGAUCCGCGCUGCAUUAGCUAGUUGGUAAGGUAACGGCUUACCAAGGCAACGAUGCAUAGCCGACCUGAGAGGGUGAUCGGCCACCCUGGAACUGAGACACGGUCCAGACUCCUACGGGAGGCAGCAGUAGGGAAUCUUCCGCAGUGGGCGAAAGCCUGACGGAGCAACGCCGCGUGAGUGAUGAAGGGCUUCGGAUCGUAAAACGCUGUUAUUAGGGAAGAACAUAUGUGUAAGUAACUGUGCACAUCUUGACGGUACCUAAGCAGAAAGCCACGGCUAACUACGU